GGCUACUCGCAUAUGUCAUGGAAAGAACGUAAAAAGAUUGACGAUAGGAAGGUUGCUUCUCUUGGCGGAAAGGCCCCUGCACAGCAGAAAUUGCCUUUAAAGGUGGCACGACCAAGGAUGAAGAAACAGAAGGAGAGAGAGCAGAAAAUGCUCCGAGAGUGACUUUGUAGCGUUUGAUUCGUGGACAAUUUGGGGGAAACCUUGGUCAGCAGGGAAGCGCAAACCAGAGGAGAGGGGUCUGAAGUCAAGCGAAGGUCGUUUUAAAAGUGGCGUCCUUAAUGUGAAGCAUUUGUUAAAUCCAGCGGAAUCUAAAGGGCAAGCUACUG